GGAGUAAAUAAUUAAAAUAUUUUUAUAUA
rnacentral:rRNA from 1 species